UACGUAGGUGGCAAGCGUUGUCCGGAAUUAUUGGGCGUAAAGCGCGCGCAGGCGGUCCUUUAAGUCUGAUGUGAAAGCCCACGGCUCAACCGUGGAGGGUCAUUGGAAACUGGGGGACUUGAGUACAGAAGAGAAGAGUGGAAUUCCACGUGUAGCGGUGAAAUGCGUAGAGAUGUGGAGGAACACCAGUGGCGAAGGCGGCUUCCUGGACCGACACUGACGCUGAGGAGCGAAAGCGUGGGGAGCAAACAGG
rnacentral:rRNA from 1 species